rnacentral:misc_RNA from 1 species
UGGAAGAAUAUUUUAUGUUUAUGGAUAGGAGGAAUUAAUUUUAUUAAAAUGGUUAUAUUGUUUAAAGUAAUUUAUAGAUUUAAUGUAAUUUUUAUUAAGUUAUUAAUGGUAUUUUUUAUAGAGUUAGAAUAAAUAAUUUUAUAAUUUGUAUGGAAAUAUAAAAAAUUUUGAAUAGUUAAAGUGAUUUUGAGAAAGAAGAAUGGAAUUGGAGGAAUUAAUUUGUUUGAUUUUAGGUUUUAUUAUAAAGUUAUAGUUAUUAAGAUAGUAUGGUAUUGGUAUAAAGAUAGAAAUAUAGAUUAAUGGAAUAAAAUAGAAAGUUUAGAGAUAAAUUUAUGUAUAUAUGGAUAUUUUAUUUUUGAUAAAGGAGGUAAGAAUAUAUAAUGGAGAAAAGAUAAUUUUUUUAAUAAGUGGUGUUGGGAAAAUUGGUUAAUUAUUUGUAAAAGAAUGAAAUUAGAAUAUUUUUU